rnacentral:rRNA from 1 species
GAAGUAAAAAGUCGUAACAAGGUCUCCGUUGGUGAACCAGCGGAGGGAUCAUUACCGAGUUUACAACUCCCAAACCCAAUGUGAACGUUACCAAACUGUUGCCUCGGCGGGAUCUCUGSCCCGGGUGCGUCGCAGCCCCGGACCAAGGCGCCCGCCGGAGGACCAACCUAAAACUCUUAUUGUAUACCCCCUCGCGGGUUUUUUUAUAAUCUGAGCCUUCUCGGCGCCUCUCGUAGGCGUUUCGAAAAUGAAUCAAAACUUUCAACAACGGAUCUCUUGGUUCUGGCAUCGAUGAAGAACGCAGCGAAAUGCGAUAAGURAUGUGAAUUGCAGAAUUCAGUGAAUCAUCGAAUCUUUGAACGCACAUUGCGCCCGCCAGUAUUCUGGCGGGCAUGCCUGUCCGAGCGUCAUUUCAACCCUCGAACCCCUCCGGGGGGYCGGCGUUGGGGAUCGGCCCUCCCUUAGCGGGUGGCCGUCUCCGAAAUACAGUGGCGGUCUCGCCGCAGCCUCUCCUGCGCAGUAGUUUGCACACUCGCAUCGGGAGCGCGGCGCGUCCACAGCCGUUAAACACCCAACUUCUGAAAUGUUGACCUCGGAUCAGGUAGGAAUACCCGCUGAACUUAAGCAUAUCAAUAAGCGGA